UGAAAAUGUGUGUUUAUGUGCAUUCAUGAAGGGGAGAGAAAUGAUAGAUGCUCUAAUAAGAGCUGGCAUCAAACUCAGCCUAUGCAGCUGCUGUGAGCUGUGUCAUUAAAAUUUUGAUGUGACAUAAGAUUUGGGAAAU
rnacentral:sRNA from 1 species